CAAAAACAUGUCUUUUUGAUUAUAAUUUAAAGUCUAACCUGCCCAAUGAGGAGUUAAAUGGCCGCGGUAAUUUGACCGUGCAAAGGUAGCAUAAUCAUUAGUUUUUUAAUUGAAAGCUGGAAUGAAUGGUUGGACGAGAAAAUAACUGUCUCAAUUUAAUUGGAAUUAGAAUUUUAUUUAUAAGUAAAAAAGCUUAUAUGAAUUUAAAAGACGAGAAGACCCUAUAGAAUUUAAUAUAUUAAUAUGUUUAUUAUUUUUAGAAUUUUUAUUUAUAUAUAUAGAAGUAUAUUUUGUUGGGGCGAUAGAAAAAUUAAUUAAACUUUUUUUAUAUUUUAACAUUAAUGUAUGUGUAAGUGAUCCGUUUAUUACGAUUAAAAGAUUAAAUUACCUUAGGGAUAACAGCGUAAUUUUUUUUUAGAGUUCUUAUCGAAAAAAGAGUUUGCGACCUCGAUGUUGGAUUAAAAUUAACUUUUGGUGUAGGGGCU
rnacentral:rRNA from 1 species